AUUGAACGCUGGCGGCAGGCCUAACACAUGCAAGUCGAACGGACCCUUCGGGGUUAGUGGCGGACGGGUGAGUAACACGUGGGAACGUGCCUUUAGGUUCGGAAUAGCUCCUGGAAACGGGUGGUAAUGCCGAAUGUGCCCUUCGGGGGAAAGAUUUAUCGCCUUUAGAGCGGCCCGCGUCUGAUUAGCUAGUUGGUGAGGUAAUGGCUCACCAAGGCGACGAUCAGUAGCUGGUCUGAGAGGAUGACCAGCCACACUGGGACUGAGACACGGCCCAGACUCCUACGGGAGGCAGCAGUGGGGAAUCUUGCGCAAUGGGCGAAAGCCUGACGCAGCCAUGCCGCGUGAAUGAUGAAGGUCUUAGGAUUGUAAAAUUCUUUCACCGGGGACGAUAAUGACGGUACCCGGAGAAGAAGCCCCGGCUAACUUCGUGCCAGCCGCCGCGGUAAGAC
rnacentral:rRNA from 1 species